GUGUUGCUUGAUUUGGCAGCACAUACACUAAACUUGCAAAGAUACAGAGAAGAUUAGCAUGGCCCCUGCACAAGGAUGACAUGCAAAUUUGUGAAGCAUUCCAUAUUUUU